rnacentral:rRNA from 1 species
CGUGGGUAACCUGCCCUGUACAGGGGGACAACAGCUGGAAACGGCUGCUAAUACCGCAUAAGCCCUUAGCACUGCAUGGUGCAUACGGAAAAGGAUCAAUCCGGUACAGGAUGGACCCGCGUCUGAUUAGCCAGUUGGCAGGGUAACGGCCUACCAAAGCAACGAUCAGUAGCCGAUCUGAGAGGAUGUACGGCCACAUUGGGACUGAGACACGGCCCACACUCCUACGGGAGGCAGCAUUGGGGAAUAUUGCACAAUGGAGGAAACUCUGAUGCAACGACGCCCCGUGAGUGAAGAAGUAUUUCGGUAUGUAAAGCUCUAUCACCAGGGAAGAAAAUGACGGUACCUGACUAAGAAGCACCGGCUAAAUACGUGCCAGCAGCCGCGGUAAUACGUAUGGUGCAAGCGUUAUCCGGAUUUACUGGGUGUAAAGGGAGCGUAGGUGGCAAGGCAAGCCAUAAGUGAAAACCCGGGGCUCAACCGCGGGAUUGCUUUUGGAACUGUCAUGCUAGAGUGCAGGAGGGGUGAGCGGAAUUCCUAGUGUAGCGGUGAAAUGCGUAGAUAUUAGGAGGAACACCGGAGGCGAAGGCGGCUCACUGGACUGUAACUGACACUGACGCUCGAAAGCGUGGGGAGCAAACAGGAUUAGAUACCCUGGUAGUCCACGCGGUAAACGAUGAAUACUAGAUGUCGGGAAGCAUUGCUUCUCGG